GUGACUGUUGUACAGGAGGUGAUGAGUGCAGAAACAAUUUUUGUCUACAAUUUCAUCAUGGUAUUGAAGACUGCUUGUCUUUGAUAAGGAGGAACAGAACAGGAUGGCUAUCUGUCCCUAACAACUUCUUUCAGGAAGACCAGGCUGAGCCAUCUAAGACAUCAUUAGGAACACAAGAAAAAUACCAUAAAACACGGAGAUUGGCCGUGUGUCGCUUUCAUUUCAGAAGAAGCAGGGUUCUGGAAUAUUUAAUGUGAAUGAAUCAAUUCAAGACAUAGACACUUGGCCACACCGCAGAAGUAAUCACAGGGUGAAGUCAGACAAAUGCCAAAAAGUGGGAGCCAGGAGUAAUUUCCACCUGUUCUUGUCUGUUUCAUUUUCAUCUAAGCACCUUAAAGAACUGGUACAGUGGGCAUGUGAUGGAAUUUGGAGUGAUCUUCUUCUGGAAAGAACUAUGAAGAUUCCUGGGGCUCCCGAGCAAUGGUGUUUAGAGUUCGUUUUAACAAAUCUAAAACAGAGGGUCAUCAUCAUCAUCAUCAUCAUUAUUGUUAUUAUUAUUUUAAAAAGGGAAGAAAACAAUUUCUUUCAGGAGGUACAGUAAUUUCAGAGUUGUUUGUUUUUACUAGACAUCACCUUUCCUACCCUUUGUUCUCAAGUAUCCAGGUCAAGAGUCAAAGCCUCAUGCCCACAACAGUUAAGAGUUUAUACUUGAGCAUACACACAUUGAGGUUGUUAUUAACAACCUCAAUAAUCCUGUACACAUUAAGGUUGUUAUUAACAUCUGUAUAAUAAUCCUGUACAACAAUUGAAGAUGAGUUCAGGGAAGUAGGCUGGGCUGAGAACAGCAGCAGCAGCAGCAGCAACAACAGCAACAGCAACAGCAACAGCAACAGCAACAGCAACAGCAGCAGUGUGAGAUGAGACGGAACAGCAGUUAAGAGCACUGGAUUCUCUUUCAGAGGAUCUGGAUUAUAACUUCUAGCACCCACCUGGCGGCUCAGGAAUGUCUGUAACUCCAAUUUUAGGGGAUCCAGUGUCCUUUUCCCGCCUUCUUGGACAGCAGAGGUCAUAUGCACAUGAUGCACAGACAUAACUAUGAGUAGAGAAAAAGGACAACAGACAACUCGGGAGUGUGUUUCAGCAG
rnacentral:lncRNA from 1 species